rnacentral:rRNA from 1 species
AUUCUUGAAAAUYAAAGAAUUUGGCGGUAUCUUAAUCUUAUUAGAGGAACCUGUUUUAUAAUCGAUAAACCACGAAAAAUCUUAUUUGCUUUAAAUAGUUUGUAUACCGUCAUUAUUAGAUAAUGCUGGAAAGCUUAAUUAUUAAAAUUAAUAAUAUUAAGUAUAUUAGAUCAAGGUGCAGCUUAUAGGCAAGAAAUAAAUGGGUUACAUUAAAAUAAUUGUAUACUUAACUUUAAUAAGGAAAGUAGAAAUUGGCUCUAAGAUAUGUACAUAUCGCCCGUC